UUGUGUCUUUUUGUCGAAGCAAAACCUUUUUUGUUUUCAAUGAAAAAUAAAUGUUCUGAAAGCAACUUUUUUCCGACACAAAGGAAGUCAAAGCAGACACCUACGAAGAUGGCAUCUCAGAGAGUGAGCUGAUCAAGGGGUCGAAAAUGUAGAUAUUGCCAGAUGUUCACUAUCCUAGGAACAAGCCGUGGAAGCUUUAUUGCUGGCAAAAGUGUCCAUAACCAGAGGUUAUAUCAGCUGUGUUGGUGAAGCCCUCCCACAUCUGAACUGGCUAACACAGAGGGCACAGCAUGAUCAUAGGUGAGGUCACUUGGUCGGGUCAACAGGAAGUAUUGUUAAAGAGAUGCUUUACAUUGAAAUACGGAUAGAGCUGUAGUAGUCCCAGAGUUAAUAAUCCAAGGUAAGUUUUGCAUUUCACCUCCUGAUGAUUAUGAUAACUGACCUUGUUAGGAUAAAAAAAAGCUUAAUCAUGCUCUCUCUCUAUCCAUCUGUCUUUCGUCUACAGGUAUGUUUUGAUGUGAGAGAGGAAGCCAGGUAUGUUUUGAUGUGAGAGAGGAAGCCAGUCCCAUCAUCGCCACCUCACCCACUCUUACGAUAACCUUCGGGCCGACUGGGAGCUCAAGGCUGGUUAAGAGACACUGCUAGAGACACUAUGUAGUUGUGAUGAACUGAGAGAAUAUUAGGGUAGCAGUGUAAUUCAUUAAUCAUAUUAUGUUUUCCCUUCUCCUCUGUUUUACCUCUUUCCUUUUCUGUCUUCAACACCUUUCUCCCCACCUCCCCUAAUUCCUUUUUUUGUGCAUUAAAGUACAGAUUUAACUUGUAUUUCUAAUAUAAUAUUACAACUAUAAUAUUUCUAAUGCAUGUAUUAUGGAUUUAUACCACCUGGAAUGAACUUUCAAUAAAGUG